rnacentral:pre_miRNA from 1 species
UCUCCCAACCCUUGUACCAGUGUGUGUCUCAGACCCUGGUACAGGUACGGGGAGGCA